UGAUCUGCCCUGCACUUCGGGAUAAGCCUGGGAAACUGGGUCUAAUACCGGAUAGGACUCCUGGCUUCAUGUUGGGGGUGUAAAGCUUUUGCGGUGUGGGAUGGGCCCGCGGCCUAUCAGCUUGUUGUAGGGUAAUGGCCUACCAAGGCGACGACGGGUAGCCGGCCUGAGAGGGUGACCGGCCACACUGGGACUGAGAUACGGCCCAGACUCCUACGGGAGGCAGCAGUGGGGAAUAUUGCACAAUGGGCGCAAGCCUGAUGCAGCGACGCCGCGUGAGGGAUGACGGCCUUCGGGUUGUAAACCUCUUUCAAUAGGGACGAAGCGCAAGUGACGGUACCUAUAGAAGAAGGACCGGCCAACUACGUG
rnacentral:rRNA from 1 species